UGUGCCUACGGGACGCAGCAGUCGGGAAUAUUGCGCAAUGGAGGAAAAUCUGACGCAGUGACGCCGCGUGCAGGAAGAAGGUUUUCGGAUUGUAAACUGCUUUAGACAGGGAAGAAAAAAGACAGUACCUGUAGAAUAAGCUCCGGCUAACUACGUGCCAGCAGCCGCGGUAAUACGUAGGGGGCAAGCGUUAUCCGGAAUUACUGGGUGUAAAGGGAGCGUAGACGGCUGUGCAAGUCUGGAGUGAAAGGCGGGGGCCCAACCCCCGGACUGCUCUGGA
rnacentral:rRNA from 1 species